rnacentral:rRNA from 1 species
GAACACCGGUUCUUGUACGAUCACCGAAGUUAAGCAACGUUGAGUAUGGUCAAUACCUAGAUCGGCGACCGCUUGGGAAUAUCAGGUGUUGUAAG